rnacentral:rRNA from 1 species
AUGGGAGACUGCCGGCGUCAAGCCGGAGGAAGGUGGGGAUGACGUCAAGUCAUCAUGCCCCUUAUGGUCCUGGGCUGCACACGUGCUACAAUGGUCGGUACAAUGGGCUGCGAUGCCGUGAGGCGGAGCGAAUCCCAUAAAACCGGCCCAGUUCGGAUCGAAGGCUGCAACUCGCCUUCGUGAAGUCGGAGUUGCUAGUAAUCGCGGAUCAGCAUGCCGCGGUGAAUACGUUCCCGGGCCUU